rnacentral:rRNA from 1 species
AUUGAACGCUAGCGGGAUGCCUUACACAUGCAAGUCGAACGGAGUGGCGAACGGGUGAGUAAUGUAUCGGAACGUGCCCAGUAGCGGGGGAUAACUACGCGAAAGCGUAGCUAAUACCGCAUACUAUUGGAGCGGCCGAUAUCGGAUUAGCUAGUUGGGGGGGUAACGGGUCACCAAGGCGACGAUCCGUAGCUGGUUUGAGAGGACGACCAGCCACACUGGGAGUGAGACAAGGUCCAGACUCCUGCGGGAGGUAGCAGUGGGGAAUUUUGGACGAUGGGGGAAACCCGGAUCCAGCCAUCCCGCGUGUGCGAUGAAGGCCUUCGGGUUGUAAAGCACUUGUGGCAGGAAAGCGGUACCUGCAGAAUAAGCACGGGCUGACUACGUGCCAGCAGCCGCGGUAAUUC